rnacentral:rRNA from 1 species
ACAAGCGGUGGAGCAUGUGGUUAAUUCGACGCAACGCGAAGAACCUUACCAGGGCUUGACAUCCCCUGACCGCGUAUGAAAGUACGUUUUCACCCUCGGGUGACAGGGAGACAGGUGGUGCAUGGUUGUCGUCAGCUCGUGUCGUGAGAUGUUGGGUUAAAGUCCCGCAACGAGCGCAACCCCUACGUUUAGUUGCUAACAGGUGAAGCUGAGCACUCUAGACGAACUGCCGUUGACAAAACGGAGGAAGGUGGGAUGACGUCAAAUCAUCAUGCCCCUUAUGUUCUGGGCUACGCACGUGCUACAAUGGCCGGUACAGACGGAGGCGAAGCCGCGAGGCGGAGCAAAUCCGAAAAAGCCGGUCUCAGUUCGGAUUGCAGGCUGCAAUUCGCCUGCAUGAAGUCGGGAUCGCUAGUAAUCGCAGGUCAGCAUACUGCGGUGAAUACGUUCCCGGGCCUU